CCUACGGGAGGCAGCAGUGGGGAAUAUUGCACAAUGGGGGAAACCCUGAUGCAGCGACGCCGCGUGAGUGAAGAAGUAAUUCGUUAUGUAAAGCUCUAUCAGCAGGGAAGAAAAUGACGGUACCUGAGUAAGAAGCACCGGCUAACUACGUGCAAGCAGCCGCGGUAAUACGUAGGGGGCAAGCGUUAUCCGGAUUUACUGGGUGGAAAGGGAGCGUAGACGGCAGUGCAAGUCUGGAGUGAAAGGCGGGGGCUCAACCCCCGGACUGCUCUGGAAACUGUACGGCUGGAGUGCAGGAGAGGUAAGUGGAAUUCCUAGUGUAGCGGUGAAAUGCGUAGAUAUUAGGAGGAACACCAGUGGCGAAGGCGGCUUACUGGACUGUAACUGACGUUGAGGCUCGAAAGCGUGGGGAGCAAACAGGAUUAGAUACCCUUGUAGUC
rnacentral:rRNA from 1 species